ensembl:lncRNA
GGAGAGAGAGAGAGAGAGAGAGGUAAUUAGCAGGAGAGAGAGGGAAAGAGUGGUAAUUGGCAGGUGAGAGAGAGAGAGUGAGAGAGAGAGAGAGAGAGAGAGAGAGAGAGGGGGAAGUGAGGUAAUUAGCAGGAAAGAGAGGGAGAGGGAGGUAAUUAGCAGGAGAGAGAGAGUGAGGUAAUUAGCAGGAGAGAGAGGGAGAGAGUGGUAAUUAGCAGGCGAGAGAGAGAGAGGUAAUUAGCAGGAAAGAGAGGGAGAGAGUGGUAAUUAGCAGGAGAGAGAGGGGGGGGUUAUUAGCAGGAGAGAGAGAGGGAGAGUGAGGUAAUUAGCAGGAGAGAGAGGGAAAGACUGGUAAUUGGCAGGUGAGAGAGAG